UUUUGCUGAUGAUAACCUUGUCCAGUUCUGCUACUGAAACUAUGUGAUUUUUUUUUUAAUCUGAAGACA
rnacentral:snoRNA from 1 species